rnacentral:rRNA from 1 species
GAACGCUCUCUUCGGAGGGAGUGGCGCACGGGUGAGUAACGCGUGGGAACCUGCCCAGGGGUGGGGGAUAACCGACGGAAACGUCGGCUAAUCCCGCAUACGUCCUAUGGGUAGAAAGGUUUAUCGCCCUUGGAGGGGCCCGCGUCGGAUUAGCUAGUUGGUGGGGUAACGGCCUACCAAGGCGAUGAUCCGUAGCUGGUCUGAGAGGAUGAUCAGCCACACUGGAACUGAAACACGGUCCAUACUCCUACGGGAGGCAGCAGUGGGGAAUUUUGCGCAAUGGGGGAAACCCUGACGCAGCAACGCCGCGUGGAGGAUGAAGUCCCUUGGGACGUAAACUCCUUUCGACCCGGACGAUAAUGACGGUACGGGUGGAAGAAGCACCGGCUAACUUCGUGCCAGCAGCCGCGGUAAU